ensembl:misc_RNA
GUGACAGCCCUGGAGACUGAUGUCCUGAAUAUCCUCAGAACAGGUGCACAGGGGCAUUUUCCUGCCAAUGUGACUUAGCCUAGAGGUGAAGAGCCCAAUUCUCAGAUUAGAUGGUAGUUCAGUGUAAAGCCUUCUCAAACCACAGUAUUC